CAUGCUGCUCUCUCCUCACACUCGCACCUUCUCCCCCUCCCUCCUCUCCCUCCUUCAGCCCCGUUCUCCCAGCCCACCCAGCUCCGCUGCUGCCAGCACCCACUUGCAUUUAACCCAAGGCGGCGACGCGCUUCUUUGCAGCCGGCCCGUGCACGCCACCAUGCAGGCAGGAACUAUGUGGCUUUGACUGGGCUCCAAGUACAGGCUCAUCAAAUGUCUCCAACACUGCAGAAAUCGCCUGGGAUGUUUCCCCACGAGUGGAUGUGAAAUGCAGACGGAGUGAGAGGGAACAAGGCUGCCGUGUGACACUUAUAGCCUUGUCAGCUGCCAGCAUUUCACUUCAUGCAAGGCUCAGCUUAGGGGCACCUGUAAGCUUUGGCUCAUGCUGGCACCUCACCAUUUUUCCAAGCCUCUUCUUCUUGGCUACAUACACGCUCAUUCCCUUUAGAUUCAUAAAAUCGACCUGUUCUGCUGUUCACAUUUGGCUUGUUUUGUAUUGUAGUAUCUAAUUUUUGAUGUACCCAUGGCAAUUCACUUCAAUAUAUUUACAGUAUAUUAUUUUAGUUUAUGUUCUGUGCCACCGUCUAUGGGACUAAAAAAUGUUAACUGAAUACGACUUCCCUUGUGCAAUCACUAGGCGAAUAAAUGUUGCGCCUAAAAUUCUAAAUUAGUUUUUCAGCUCUAAAACAAUACAGCAAGAGCAUCAUUUGCAGUAGGGGGGAAAAUGUCACAGUCAAGAGAAAAAACAUUUUUUUACACAAUGUAUUGAACUCAGUUUUAGAUCAAGAUGGGAGAAAUAACAUGAUGUAAGGAGCAGAAAGAGGAUAACGAUAAAUGUGCAUGUGCGAAUGUCUAUAACUCGGGGGGGGGCAUGAUUCUCCACUACUUUGAGCUUAUCCAGAGAAUCUGUUCUGUUUCAAGAGAAUGAAGGAUAGAGGUCCGAACUGACUAGUGUGCCACACACUCGCUCCACGAUGUACACACAAGCCAGGACUUUGUCAGCAUGACCUACCGCGAAGCGUCCCGGCACCCCCGCUCCCAAAAUCCGAGCUCCAAUAACAAACUCCACUGGCUCUUCUGAUUGGUCGUGACAAAUGCUCUCCGCAAGACUGGCUACGGGUAAUGUCGGCCAAAAAGGGUUCGACGGCCUGUCGGCCCGACUCCAUGUCACUCUGCAUGUGCACGUGUGUCGUUGGAUGAGUGUGGAUAUGCAUUUGUUUGUCUGCUUUAAGAUGAAUGUAAGCACUGAAUCCAGCAGCAUUAAACAUAACAAUGGUGCAUUCAUGGGAAUUUUGCAGGAGAUUGGGGAUAAAGUCAAGUUUAAGCACUGAAAUAUUUUCCAGCAGUGAGGUGGUCCAGAAAAGCAAAUUAUGUUUCAAUACAUUCCACAAAAAUGGAGGACAUGUCGGGGACACGUUUAAUUACAAAUAGGGCUAGUAAAAAAAUGCUUUACGUU